rnacentral:rRNA from 1 species
GGCCCUACGGGGUGCAGCAGUCGCGAAACCUUGACAAUGCGCGAAAGCGUGAUCAGGGGACUCUGAGUGUAAACCUAACGGUUUACUUUAAUCAGCUGAAAAG